AUGGCCCACCAAACCUGUAACCGGUACGGGCUCUGAGAGGAGGAGCCCGGAGAUGGGUACUGAGACAAGGACCCAGGCCCUAUGGGGCGCAGCAGGCGCGAAACCUCUGCAAUAGGCGAAAGCCUGACAGGGUUACUCUGAGUGACUUUCGCUAAGAAAGUCUUUUGACACCUCUAAAAAUGGUGUAGAAUAAGGGGUGGGCAAGUCUGGUGUCAGCCGCCGCGGUAAUACCAGCACCCCGAGUGGUCGGGACGAUUAUUGGGCCUAAAGCAUCCGUAGCCGGUUUUACAAGUCCUCCGUUAAAUCCAGCUGCUUAACAGAUGGGCUGCGGGGGAUACUAUAAGACUAGGAGGCAGGAGAGGCAAGCGGUACUCAGUGGGUAGGGGUAAAAUCCGUUGAUCCAUUGAAGACCACCAGUGGCGAAGGCGGCUUGCCAGAAUGCGCUCGACGGUGAGGGAUGAAAGCUGGGGGAGCAAACCGGAUUAGAUACCCGGGUAGUCCCAGCUGUAAACGAUGCAGACUCGGUGAUGGACUAGCUUUAUGCUAGUCCAGUGCCGCAGGGAAGCCGUUAAGUCUGCCGCCUGGGUA
rnacentral:rRNA from 1 species